UCUGAUGUGAAAGCCCCCGGCUCAACCCGGGGAGGUCAUUGGGAACCUGGGGAACUUGAGUGCAGAAGAGGAGAGUGGGAAUUUCCACGUGUAGCGGUGAAAUGCGUAGAGAUGUGGAGGAAACACCAGUGCGAAGGCGACUCUCUGGUCUGUAACUGACGCUGAGGCGCGAAAGCGUGGGGAGCGAACAGGAUUAGAUACCCUGGUAGUCCACGCCGUAAACGAUGAGUGCUAAGUGUUAGAGGGUUUCCGCCCUUUAGUGCUGCAGCAAACGCAUUAAGCACUCCGCCUGGGGAGUACGCUCGCAAGUCUGAAACUCAAAGGAAUUGACGGGGGCCCGCACAUGCGGUGGAGCAUGUGGUGUAAUUCGAAGCAACGCGAAGAACCUUACCAGGUCUUGACAUCCUCUGACAACCCUAGAGAUAGGGCUUCCCCUUCGGGGGCAGAGUGACAGGUGGUGCAUGGUUGUCGUCAGCUCGUGUCGUGAGAUGUUGGGUUAAGUCCCGCAACGAGCGCAACCCUUGAUCUUAGUUGCCAGCAUUCAGUUGGGCACUCUAAGGUGACUGCCGGUGACAAACCGGAGGAAGGUGGGGAUGACGUCAAAUCAUCAUGCCCCUUAUGACCUGGGCUACACACGUGCUACAAUGGGCAGAACAAAGGGCAGCGAAGCCGCGAGGCUAAGCCAAUCCCACAAAUCUGUUCUCAGUUCGGAUCGCAGUCUGCAACUCGCCUGCGUGAAGCUGGAAUCGCUAGUAAUCGCGGAUCAGCAUGCCGCGGUGAAUACGUUCCCGGGCCUUGUACACACCGCCCGUCACACCACGAGAGUUUGUAACACCCGAAGUCGGUGAGGUAACCUUGAGC
rnacentral:rRNA from 1 species